GACACGGUAUACCAGUUUGCAUCCCUCCGAAAGGACUCAUGUGAGUUUGGCCGAUGCAGUCUCUGCGAAAGUUGAAGGGACUGGGAAAGUGUAUGUACUUGGGUUGCAGGCUGUAGUGUCUAACGCUUUGUGUGUACCCUCCCUCAAACAGAGUUUGCUAAGUGUGUCAUGCCUGUUACAGGAUGGGUUCACUGUACAAUUUAAAGGAAAAACAUGUAACAUCACCAAAGGGGGCAAGUGUAUAAAAGUGCCAAUGAGAGACAAUCUCUUUGUCCUCGAAGCCACUCCAAAGGCUGAGGUGGCCAGAGCACUGUGCACAAAUAGAGAAACCCAUAAAGCAUGUGCCCAUCUGUGGCAUAAUCGCCUAGCUCACCUAAAUUAUAAAUAUGUUCAGAAAACAGCUGAAUUGGCCCGUGGUAUCCGCUUGCAAGAGUGCCAUAAGUAUGUGGACUGUCACACUUGCAAACAAGUAAAAUCAUGUAAAGCCCCAGUGAGCAAGAAAAGUGACAGACAGUCACAAAGGCCAUUUGAACUGGUCCAUGCUGAUAUAGUGGGACCAUUCAAAGCCACAGUAGGAGGGGCCAGAUACUUUCUGUUGGUAGUUGAUGAUUACUCGCGUUUUGUAUUCUGUUACCUACUGAAAGAAAAGAAAGAGGCAUUCCAGAAAUUUAGAAGUUGGAUUCACAUGGUAGAGCGCCGAUUCAACCACAAGGUGGCGCAAUUACAAACCGAUAGAGGGGGAGAAUUCAUGAGCAAUGCCAUGCAAUCCUGGCUUGAAAAGACAGGAAUCCAACAUCGGACCACAAAUCCGUACUCACCUGCCGAGAAUUCUGUUGCAGAACGAAAGGCGGGAAUACUACAAGUCAUGAAGGAUGCUUUGCUAACCCAAUCAGGGCUUGGUCAAGCAUUCUGGGGGGAGGCACUGCAAUGUGCUACACAUUUGGCCAAUCGGGUGUAUAGUAGCGCUGUAGAUAAUAUUCCCUAUAACUUGCUAUAUGGAAAGGCACCUGACCUAUCCUACCUUAGGUGCUUUGGUGCUAGUGCUUUUGUACACCUGCCAAAAUCCCUAAGAAAAAAGGGUGCCCCCAAAACUCAAAGACUCUUGUGUGUCGGAUAUUCUCCUUUUACUAAAGGUUAUAGAUACCUAACCAAAGAUAAGAGUGGUAUAGUUAUUUCCAGAUCUGCAAAUUUCUGUGAACAGCAGCUAUUGCCUCAAACAGAGGAGAAUUAUCUCCCUACCUCAGACAUACCCUUCAUGUUACAGGAGAGAGAGAGUGAGUUGCCAAGGCAACCUCUCCCAGCAGAAGCAGAUAGCGGGGAUGAGGAAUGCAAACCCUUAACCCCUUCUGUGACUCUAGAAGAUGUAAAACAGGAGGCAACACCGCCUAUUGAGCACAGUCCCGUAGUGCAGAAAAGAGAACUCCUACCAAGAACAACGAGGGGUGUACAACCCCAAUGGUUCGUUAUAGGGGAAGCUGUGGCAUACAAUGUACAGCCUGAACCCCAAAAAUAUGAGGACAUUCUCGAGUUGCCAGCCAGUGAAAGGAGAAAGUGGUUUGAAGCAAUGCAUCAAGAGAUGCAUGCCAUGAAGACACUUGGUGUCUUCACCCCCUGCAGCUUGCCACCAGGAAAACAGGCAAUAGGCUGCAGGUAGGUAUACAGAAUCAAGCCCCAAGAGGGGGCAGAUCCCAUCUACCGGGCCCGCUUAGUAGCCAAGGGAUUUUCUCAGAAGAAACAUGUAGACUAUGAGGAAAUAUUUUCACCCACUGUAGCAGCUCAGACCAUUCGUUAUGUUCUAGCAUUGGCAGCCCAACGACAAUGGCAUGUG
rnacentral:lncRNA from 1 species